GGGCGAAAGCCUGAUGCAGCGACGCCGCGUGGGGGAUGACGGCCUUCGGGUUGUAAACCCCUUUCAGUAGGGAAGAAGCGAGAGUGACGGUACCUGCAGAAGAAGCGCCGGCUAACUACGUGCCAGCAGCCGCGGUAAUACGUAGGGCGCAAGCGUUGUCCGGAAUUAUUGGGCGUAAAGAGCUUGUAGGUGGCUUGUCGCGUCUGCCGUGAAAACCCGAGGCUCAACCUCGGGCGUGCGGUGGGUACGGGCAGGCUAGAGUGUGGUAGGGGAGACUGGAACUCCUGGUGUAGCGGUGAAAUGCGCAGAUAUCAGGAAGAACACCGAUGGCGAAGGCAGGUCUCUGGGCCAUUACUGACACUGAGAAGCGAAAGCAUGGGUAGCGAACAGGAUUAGAUACCCUGGUAGUCCAUGCCGUAAACGUUGGGCACUAGGUGUGGGGGACAUUCCACGUUUUCCGCGCCGUAGCUAACGCAUUAAGUGCCCCGCCUGGGGAGUACGGCCGCAAGGCUAAAACUCAAAGGAAUUGACGGGGGCCCGCACAAGCGGCGGAGCAUGCUGAUUAAUUCGAUGCAACGCGAAGAACCUUACCAAGGCUUGACAUGCACUGGACGGCUGCAGAGAUGUGGCUUUCUUUGGACUGGUGCACAGGUGGUGCAUGGUUGUCGUCAGCUCGUGUCGUGAGAUGUUGGGUUAAGUCCCGCAACGAGCGCAACCCUCGUUCUAUGUUGCCAGCACGUGAUGGUGGGGACUCAUAGGAGACUGCCGGGGUCAACUCGGAGGAAGGUGGGGACGACGUC
rnacentral:rRNA from 1 species